AUUGAACGCUGGCGGCAGGCCUAACACAUGCAAGUCGAGCGGAUGAAGGGAGCUUGCUCCUGGAUUCAGCGGCGGACGGGUGAGUAAUGCCUAGGAAUCUGCCUGGUAGUGGGGGAUAACGUCCGGAAACGGGCGCUAAUACCGCAUACGUCCUGAGGGAGAAAGUGGGGGAUCUUCGGACCUCACGCUAUCAGAUGAGCCUAGGUCGGAUUAGCUAGUUGGUGGGGUAAAGGCCUACCAAGGCGACGAUCCGUAACUGGUCUGAGAGGAUGAUCAGUCACAUCGGAACUGAGACACGGUCCAGACUCCUACGGGAGGCAGCAGUGGGGAAUAUUGGGCAAUGGGCGAAAGCCUGAUCCAGCCAUGCCGCGUGUGUGAAGAAGGUCUUCGGAUUGUAAAGCACUUUAAGUUGGGAGGAAGGGCAGUAAGUUAAUACCUUGCUGUUUUGACGUUACCAACAGAAUAAGCACCGGCUAACUUCGUG
rnacentral:rRNA from 1 species